AGGCGCGUAGCUCAGUGGCAGAGCGCUGCUUUAACAUGGCAGAGGUCGUGGGUUCGAUUCCCAUCCGCGCCUACCA
rnacentral:tRNA from 1 species